UACGUAGGGUGCAAGCGUUGUCCGGAAUUAUUGGGCGUAAAGAGCUCGUAGGCGGUUUGUCGCGUCUGCCGUGAAAGUCCGGGGCUCAACUCCGGAUCUGCGGUGGGUACGGGCAGACUAGAGUGAUGUAGGGGAGACUGGAAUUCCUGGUGUAGCGGUGAAAUGCGCAGAUAUCAGGAGGAACACCGAUGGCGAAGGCAGGUCUCUGGGCCAUAACUGACGCUGAGAAGCGAAAGCAUGGGGAGCGAACAGG
rnacentral:rRNA from 1 species